GUCAAACUCGCCGUUGGAGUGUGCGUCUCGAUGCAGGUCCUACAGAUUUGCAGGCGUUGAGAACAGCAACGAGUGCUUCUGUGGAAACGUGCAGCCAGUUGUGAGUAAGCCCGAGUCUGAAUGUAAUGCUGUGUGCCCCGGGGAAAGCACAAAGAAAUGCGGAGGAGUCUGGAGGGUCAGUGUCUACAGCAACAGGGCUCCCAUGUACCGCGGAUGCUACGUGGAUACGAUACCCCGCGUCUUGCCUACUCAAAAGACUCCCAACUCGCCCACAAACACGCCUUUGGAAUGUGCCUCUCGCUGCAUUGGUUUCGCUUUUAGCGGCGUUGAGGCCAGCGGUGAGUGUUUCUGCGGCACAGUACUACCCACAGUGCUAAAGCCUGACUCCGAAUGUAACUAUGCGUGUCCUGGGAACAGCGCAUUGAAAUGUGGCGGGU